AGUCCUUGGGGUACAGCAUUACUGGUGAGCUGCUUCUUGGGGACCAUUCUUCUCCAGUCUGACUCUGCUCUGCUGCCAGUGAUCAUGUUGCUUGAAGCGGUUACCAUCCUUGAUGUCUUUCUCUCUGUAUUCAUAUCUGUCUGAAGUAGCUAUCUUUGCUCCCUUCUGGAUGCAGUGUCUGAAAAUGGUCCAGCAGCUUCCCUUUCCAAAUUACAUGGCCAAGAGGCAGGGGAAAAGAGGAGGAUUUCCUUUUCUUCCUCUCACAGAGGUCUCAAGACCUCCUCAGGAAAAACCCAACCCUCAAACUUCAAGAAGUCAGCAUGGAUCAGUGGAAGGAACACUGCUUCUAGAGUUGGAGGACCUAGGGUUAGACCCUGUUUCUCUACUUUCUGUUGGGUUAGAUCCUGUUUCUUCACUUUCUGUCAGUUACCUCCUGAGAUGUAGUCAGCCUUCCACAAACAUUCCUCUCCUCUCUCUAAGGAAGUGUGCUCGCAAGGGGUUUACAACCUAACUGAAAAGGUGCAAAGUAAAAAUGUAAAAUCAAAAAGUAAGUAACAGUUAAGGACAACAAUAGAAGAGGGGCUACAAGACAGAGCAUGUUAACUGCCAAAUACAUUCUAUGGAUUAUAGUUGUUCUAACUGGCACCGUCUAAGGCUUUCAUAAAUGUUUUUUCUAUAAGACACUGGAAAAAAGGAAAGGCACUUCACCCUUGGAAAGGCUUCCCGGAGUGAGCUACAGAUUUUGAGAGAUGGGUCGUAUUUGGGUAAGAAGAGGAAAUGGCAUUUCAAGUGGGUGGAAAAGUUAUGGGCAAGAGCAAAAUAACAGGAAAGUGGAAGUCUGUUCAACAGAGAAUGUGGAUCAGCCAGGCUCAAAUAAAGAGCCUGGGAAGGGGAGAAUUACA
rnacentral:lncRNA from 1 species